rnacentral:misc_RNA from 1 species
GGCAAGUUUCUCACAUAGACAGAUUUUGGUUCACCUUCAUCUAGUCCCAAGCCUUCCUCUGUUGCCUCAAAUCCAGAUUCCGCCACAUAAGACAAUCCAGAGUCUGAAUGCUGAGCAGGAGGUGAUGGUAUAUUAUCCCAACCUGACAUAGUUGGGGCACUCUUGAUAACUGAUGGCUGAGUAGCAACUGAUGACUGCCCCUUAGCAACUCUUAAUAUAGAAGCAUAAGUUUUCUUUGGAGGUUCUUCUACAGG